GAUGAACGCUGGCGGCGUGCCUAAUACAUGCGAGUCGAGCGAACAGACGAGGAGCUUGCUCCUCUGACGUUAGCGGCGGACGGGUGGGUAACACGUGGAUAACCUACCUAUAAGACUGGGAUAACUUCGGGAAACCGGAGCUAAUACCGGAUAAUAUAUUGAACCGCAUGGUUCAAUAGUGAAAGACGGUUUUGCUGUCACUUAUAGAUGGAUCCGCGCCGCAUUAGCUAGUUGGUAAGGUAACGGCUUACCAAGGCGACGAUGCGUAGCCGACCUGAGAGGGUGAUCGGCCACACUGGAACUGAGACACGGUCCAGACUCCUACGGGAGGCAGCAGUAGGGAAUCUUCCGCAAUGGGCGAAAGCCUGACGGAGCAACGCCGCGUGAGUGAUGAAGGUCUUCGGAUCGUAAAACUCUGUUAUUAGGGAAGAACAAAUGUGUAAGUAACUAUGCACGUCUUGACGGUACCUAAUCAGAAAGCCACGGCUAACUACGUG
rnacentral:rRNA from 1 species